rnacentral:rRNA from 1 species
UACCGCGUGGGUGAAGAAGGCCUUCGGGUUGUAAAGCCCUUUUGUUGGGAAAGAAAAGCAGUCGGCUAAUACCCGGUUGUUCUGACGGUACCCAAAGAAUAAGCACCGGCUAACUUCGUGCCAGCAGCCGCGGUAAUACGAAGGGUGCAAGCGUUACUCGGAAUUACUGGGCGUAAAGCGUGCGUAGGUGGUUGUUUAAGUCUGUUGUGAAAGCCCUGGGCUCAACCUGGGAAUUGCAGUGGAUACUGGGCGACUAGAGUGUGGUAGAGGGUAGUGGAAUUCCCGGUGUAGCAGUGAAAUGCGUAGAGAUCGGGAGGAACAUCCAUGGCGAAGGCAGCUACCUGGACCAACACUGACACUGAGGCACGAAAGCGUGGGGAGCAAACAGGAUUAGAUACCCUGGUAGUCCACGCCCUAAACGAUGCGAACUGGAUGUUGGGUGCAAUUUGGCACGCAGUAUCGAAGCUAACGCGUUAAGUUCGCCGCCUGGGGAGUACGGUCGCAAGACUGAAACUCAAAGGAAUUGACGGGGGCCCGCACAAGCGGUGGAGUAUGUGGUUUAAUUCGAUGCAACGCGAAGAACCUUACCUGGUCUUGACAUGUCGAGAACUUUCCAGA